rfam:Bacteroidetes bacterium RBG_13_46_8 RBG_13_scaffold_31947, whole genome shotgun sequence.
UUAGGUGACUAUAGCGAUGGGGUCCCACCUCUUCCCAUUCCGAACAGAGAAGUUAAGCCCAUUUGCGCCGAUGGUACUGCAUUCGCGGGAGAGUAGGUCGUCGCCGAUC